rnacentral:misc_RNA from 1 species
GAUGAAGAACGUAGUGAAAUGCGAUAAGUAAUGUGAAUUGCAGAAUUCAGUGAAUCAUCGAAUCUUUGAACGCACAUUGCGCCUGCCAGCACUCUGGCGGGCAUGCCUGUUCGAGCGUCAUUUCAACCAUCAAGCCCCCAGGGGCUUGUGCUGGGGCCCUGCGGCUGCCCGCAGGCCCUGAAAACCAGUGGCGGGCUCGCUAGUCACACCGAGCGCAGUAGCACAUCUCGCUCAGGGCGUGCGGCGGGCUCCUGCCGUGAAACCCCCCACUGUAACCCCAAAGGUUGACCUCGGAUCAGGUAGGAAUACCCGCUGAACUUAAGCAUAUCAAUAAGCGGAGGA